AUUGAACGCUAGCGGGAUGCUUUACACAUGCAAGUCGAACGAGUGGCGGACGGGUGAGUAAUAUAUCGGCACGUGCCCAUUCGCGGGGGAUCACUACUCGAAAGAGUGGCUAAUACCGCCUACUCUUGGAGCGGCCGAUAUCGGAUUAGCUAGUUGGUGGGGUAAAGGCUCACCAAGGCAACGAUCCGGAGCUGGUUUGAGAGGACGACCAGCAACACUGGUACUGAGACACGGCCCAGACUCCUACGGGAGGAAGCAGUGGGGAAGUUUCGACAAUGGGGGAAACCCGGAUCCAGCCAGCCCGCGGGUAUGAGAAGGCCUUCGGGUUGUAAAGUACUUUUGGCAGAGAAGCGGUAUCUGCAGAAUAAGCACCGGCUAACUACGAGCCAGCAGCCGCGGUAAUUC
rnacentral:rRNA from 1 species